rnacentral:ncRNA from 2 species
UAUAAAAGAAUUCUCCGAGUCUUAAGGCCUAAGGCAAGGCUAUGGCCUUAAGACCGAUAGGGUAGAGUUGGAAACGGCUCUGCCUCCUCUUUGGAAAGGAGAAUAUUAGGAUAGUAU